UCAGUUCAGGGUUUAAAACCCUAAUGCUGAUUGCAUGAAAAAGCUCAGUUUAGGGUUUAAAACCCUAAUGAUGGCUAAAUGGAAAAAAGUUCAUUUUUAGCGUUUAAAACCCUAAUGCUGACUAAAGGAAGAAGUUCAGUUUAGGGUUUAAAACCCUAACGCUGAUUGCAUGAAAAAGCUCAGUUUAGGGUUUAAAACCCUAAUGAUGGCUAAAUGGAAAAAAGUUCAGUUUAGGGUUUAAAACCCUAAUGCUGACUGAAUGGAAAAAAGUUCAGUUUAGGGUUUAAAACCCUAAUGUUGACUGAAAGGAAAGAGUUUAGUUUAGGGUUUAAAACCCUAAUGCUGAUUGCAUGGAAAAGCUCAGUUUAGGGUUUAAAACCCUAAUGCUGAUUGCAUGGAAAAGCUCAGUUUAGGGUUUAAAACCCUAAUGCUGAUUGCAUGGAAAAGCUCAGUUUAGGGUUUAAAACCCUAAUGCUGGCUGAAUGGAAAAAAGUUCAGAUUAGGUUUUAAAACCCUAAUGCUAAUUGCAUGGAAAAGCUCAGUUGACGGGUUUAAAACCCUAAUGCUGGCUGAAUGGAAAAAAGUUCAGUUCAGGGUUUAAAACCCUAAUGCUGAUUGCAUGGAAAAGCUCAGUUUAGGGUUUAAAACCCUAAUGCUGGCUGAAUGGAAAAAAGUUUAGUUUAGGGUUUAAAACCCUAAUGCUGACUAAAGGAAGAAGUUCAGUUUAGGGUUUAAAACCCUAAUGCUGAUUGCAUGAAAAAGCUCAGUUUAGGGUUUAAAACCCUAAUGAUGGCUAAAUGGAAAAAGUUCAUUUUUAGCGUUUAAAACCCUAAUGCUGACUAAAGGAAGAAGUUCAGUUUAGGGUUUAAAACCCUAACGCUGAUUGCAUGGAAAAGCUCAGUUUAGGGUUUAAAACCCUAAUGCUGGCUAAAUGGAAAAAAGUUCAGUUUAGGGUUUAAAACCCUAAUGCUGAUUAAAGGAAAAAGUUCAGUUUAGGUUUUAAAACCCUAAUGCUGACUGAAUGGAAAAAAGUUCAGUUUAGGGUUUAAAACCCUAAUGCUGACUAUAGGAAAAAUUCAGUUUAGGGUUUAAAACCCUAAUGAUGAUGGCAUGGAAAAGCUUAGUUUAGGGUUUAAAACCCUAAUGCUGGCUGAAUGGAAAAAAGUUCAGUUUAGGGUUUAAAACCCUAAUGCUGAUUGCAGGAAAAAGCUCAGUUUAGGGUUUAAAACCCUAAUGCUGACUAAAGGAAAAGUUCAGUUUAGGGUUUAAAACCCUAAUGCUAACUGAAAGGAAAGAGUUCAGUUUAGGGUUUAAAACCCUAAUGCUGAUUGCAUGGAAAAGCUCAUAUUAGGGUUUAAAACCCUAAUGCUGGCUGAAUGGAAAAAAGUUCAGUUUAGGGGUUUAAAACCCUAAUGCUGAUUGCAUGGAAAAGCUCUGUUUAGGGUUUAAAACCCUAAUGCUGGCUGAAUGGAAAAUGUUCAGUUUAGGGUUUAAAACCCUAAUGCUGAUUGAAUGGAAAAGCUUAGUUUAGGGUUUAAAACCCUAAUGCUGGCUGAAUGGAAAAAAGUUCAGUUCAGGGUAUAAAACCCUAAUGCUGAUUGCAUGGAAAAGCUCAGUUUAGGGUUUAAAACCCUAAUGCUGGCUGAAUGGAAAAAAGUUCAGUUAGGGUUUAUAACCCUAAUGAUGAUUAAAGGAAAAAGUUCAGUUUAGGGUUUAAAACCCUAAUGUUGACUAAAGGAAAAGUUCAGCUUAGGGUUUAAAACCCUAAUGCUGACUGAAAGGAAAGAGUUCAGUUUAGGGUUUAAAACCCUAAUACUGAUUGCAUGGAAAAGCUCAGUUUAGGGUUUAAAACCCUAAUGCUGGAUGAAUGGAAAAAAGUUCAGUUUAGGGUUUAAAACCCUAAUGUUGAUUGCAUGGAAAAAGUUCAGUUUAGGGUUUAAACCCUAAUGCUGAUUAAAGGAAAAAGUUCAGUUUAGGGUUUAAAAACCUAAUGCUGACUGAAUGGAAAAAAGUUCAGUUUAGGGUUUAAAAACCCUAAUGCUG
rnacentral:lncRNA from 1 species